UUAUAAUAAUUUUUUCAAUAAAAAAAUUUAUAAAAAUUUCUAGAUGUCGGACAACUUAAUUGUCAUCUGAUAAUGACAAUAAUAACAAUAAUGACGGGAGUGAUGGAAAAAGUUUUGGACCCUAAUUAUUUGAAAAACUAAAUUAUAAAUGUAUACGGAGAUCAGAAGAAAUUAUUGGCAAGUUUCUGAUAAUUUGGAAUUAUGAUUGCUUGCAAAAAUUCAUGAAACAAUAUUGUUUCAAAGGCACGAUACCUUAGAGUUAGUAUCAAUGUAACGGACGUGCGUUUCAUCAAUUCCCAGUGUUUGAAAACGUUUCAGUUGUCAAAUUAUUGAGUUGCUGCGAGACGGAAAGUCGAUACUUAUCAAGUCCACUGAAUUUAUGGGUAAAUGAUUUUUACAUUAUUAUUUUUUUUUUUAAUUCAACCAAUCAGCAGCCUAGAACUUUUUUCAUUUUUUUUCACUUGUCAUAGAUACACUUUCUGUCUGAA